AUCUUUCCAAGGCAAUGUAGUCGAAACCCUAAAAGAGUCGUUGAGCCGUGUGCUAGUCCAUUUUUACCCCAUGGCUGGCCGUCUCAGAUGGCUCCCUCGGGGGCGAUUCGAGCUCAAUUGUAACGCCGAGGGAGUGGAAUUCAUCGAAGCGGAAUCCGAAGGAAAGCUUUCGGAUUUCAAAGAUUUCUCUCCUACGCCGGAAUUCGAGAAUCUUAUGCCGCAAGUAAACUAUAAAAACCCUAUCGAAACGAUUCCUCUAUUUUUAGCUCAGCUUACCAAAUUCAAAUGCGGUGGAUUAAGCCUUAGCGUCAACGUUUCCCACGCGAUCGUCGAUGGCCAAAGCGCGCUUCACUUAAUAUCGGAAUGGGGAAGACUAGCGCGCGGUGAACCUUUAGAAACCGUUCCAUUUCUAGACCGGAAAAUCCUCUGGGCUGGUGAACCUCUCCCACCGUUUGAGUCGCCGCCAAAGUUCGAUCACAAAGAGUUUGAUCAGCCACCGUUUUUGAUCGGAGAAACGGACAAUGUAGAAGAGAGAAAGAAGAAGACGAUUGUUGUCAUGCUAAAACUGAGCAAAUCUCAGCUGGAGAAGCUAAGAAGUAAAGCGAACGCAAGCAAAUACGCUGACCCAGCGAAAGGGUUUACACGGUACGAGACCGUCACGGGACACGUGUGGAGGUGCGCGUGUAAAGCACGUGGCCAUUCUCCGGAGCAACCCACGGCUCUAGGAAUCUGUAUAGAUACUCGUAGUCGGAUGCAGCCACCUCUGCCCCGUGGCUACUUCGGCAAUGCUACUCUUGACGUGGUCGCAGCAAGCACCUCAGGUACGUUUUUUUUUCUAUUACUAUUCAUAGAAAUUUGUUUUGUUUUGUGAAUUUGAGAAUAAAAAUAAAAAUUGAAUUACACUUUUAAAAUUUUUUAAUUUAAUCUCCUAAAUAAAAUUUAUGUUUUGUUCAUUACUUUGAAAUUCCAACUUCAGUAAUUAGUUAUAUUUGAGAAUUUAUCCUAAAUAGCUGAGAUUGUGUUUACAUGCAUUACCUAGUAUGUAUUGAUUUUUUGAGUUAAUUUCGAUAAUGUUGUUAUGCGUAUAGGCGAACUGAUAUCGAAUGAAUUGGGUUUCGCGGCAAGUUUAAUCAGUAAAGCCAUAAAGAAUGUAACAAACGAAUACGUGAUGAUUGGGAUAGAGUAUCUUAAGAACCAAGAAGAUCUGAAGAAGUUUCAAGACCUACAUGCCUUGGGAAGCGCGGAAGGUCCAUUCUAUGGAAACCCUAAUCUUGGAUUGGUUAGCUGGUUAACUUUGCCAAUGUAUGGCCUUGAUUUCGGAUGGGGCAAGGAGUUCUACACGGGACCAGGCACGCAUGAUUUCGACGGCGACUCGCUGAUCUUGCCGGAUCAAAACGAAGAUGGCUCGGUGAUUCUUGCUACGUGUCUACAGGUGGCUCACAUGGAGGCCUUCAAGAAACACUUUUAUGACGAUAUCUAGGCUUGUCUCUUUUUAUAUACAUGACGUAUACAAAUAUUUAUGCAUUUUCAUUUGAAUUCUACUUAUAUUGUUGUGAUUAUUGAAUUGUAAUAACAA
rnacentral:lncRNA from 1 species